ACCCGGGUGCUGGAAUUGGUAGACAGGCAUGGUUGAGGGCCAUGUGUCCUUAGGGCGUGUGGGUUCAAGUCCCAUUCCGGGUAC
rnacentral:tRNA from 1 species